UAUCCCGGUUUAGGCAGAUGUAGGCGACAGGUAGGCAAAUCCGCCUGUCAUAUACCGAGGCUGCCGAUCGAGCGAGCUUGCUCGCGAAGUGAUUGAACGAGGUUCCAGGAAAAGCCACUAAGCUUCAGCUACACACGACCGUACCGCAAACCGACACUGGUGCGCGAGAUGAGUAUUCUAAGGCGCUUGAGAGAACUCGGGAGAAGGAACUCGGCAAAUUGACACCGUAACUUCGGAAGAAGGUGUGCCCUAUUAGUGUGAAGUGAACAACGGAGCAUGAAUGGGUUGCAAAAAAUCGGUGGCUGCGACUGUUUAUUAAAAACACAGCACUCUGCAAACACGAAAGUGGACGUAUAGGGUGUGACGCCUGCCCGGUGCUGGAAGAUUAAAUGAUGGGGUGCAAGCUCUUGAUUGAAGUCCCAGUAAACGGCGGCCGUAACAAUAACGGUCCUAAGGUAGCGAAAUUCCUUGUCGGGUAAGUUCCGACCUGCACGAAUGGCGUAACGAUGGCCACACUGUCUCCUCCCGAGACUCAGCGAAGUUGAAAUGUUUGUGAUGAUGCAAUCUCCCCGCGGAAAGACGGAAAGACCCCAUGAACCUUUACUGUAGCUUUGUAUUGGACUUUGAACAGAUCUGUGUAGGAUAGGUGGGAGGCUUUGAAGCAGGGUCGCUAGAUCUUGUGGAGCCAACGUUGAAAUACCACCCUGGUGUGUUUGAGGUUCUAACCUAGGUCCAUUAUCUGGAUCGGGGACAGUGCAUGGUAGGCAGUUUAACUGGGGCGGUCUCCUCCCAAAGCGUAACGGAGGAGUUCGAAGGUACGCUAGUUACGGUCGGACAUCGUGACGAUAGUGCAAUGGCAUAAGCGUGCUUAACUGCGAGACUGACAAGUCGAGCAGAUGCGAAAGCAGGACAUAGUGAUCCGGUGGUUCUGUAUGGAAGGGCCAUCGCUCAACGGAUAAAAGGUACUCUGGGGAUAACAGGCUGAUACCGCCCAAGAGUUCAUAUCGACGGCGGUGUUUGGCACCUCGAUGUCGGCUCAUCUCAUCCUGGGGCUGUAGCCGGUCCCAAGAGUAUGGCUGUUCGCCAUUUAAAGAGGUACGUGAGCUGGGUUUAAAACGUCGUGAGACAGUUUGGUCCCUAUCUUCCGUGGGCGCUGCAGAUUUGAGGAAGCCUGCUCCUAGUACGAGAGGACCGGAGUGGACGCACCUCUGGUGUAUCGGUUGUCACGCCAGUGGCAUUGCCGAGUAGCUAUGUGCGGAAGAGAUAACCGCUGAAAGCAUCUAAGCGGGAAACUCGUUCCAAGAUGAGAUCUGCCGGGGCCUUGAGCCCCCUAAAGAGUCGUUCAAGACCAGGACGUUGAUAGGUCGGGUGUGGAAGCGCAGUAAUGCGUUAAGCUAACCGAUACUAAUUGCUCGUGCGGCUUGACCCC
rnacentral:rRNA from 1 species